GAAUGCUACAGCUCUUUCAGAAUUUGCCAAGCAGGUUUUCUCAUCUUUACUAGAAACCCCUC
ensembl:snRNA U7 U7 small nuclear RNA